rnacentral:tRNA from 1 species
AAUCUGUAGUUUAUUUAAAACUUAUCGUUUACACCGAUACAAAAGAUUUUUUUUGUCUCAGAUUUAU